rnacentral:rRNA from 1 species
UACGGAGGGUGCGAGCGUUGUCCGGAAUCAUUGGGCGUAAAGAGCGUGUAGGCGGCCUGUUAAGUCUUGCGUGAAAUCUCGGGGCUCAACCCCGGACUUGCAGUGGGUACGGGCAGACUAGAGUGUGGUAGGGGAGACUGGAAUUCCUGGUGUAGCGGUGAAAUGCGCAGAUAUCAGGAGGAACACCGAUGGCGAAGGCAGGUCUCUGGGCCACUACUGACGCUGAGAAGCGAAAGCAUGGGGAGCGAACAGG